UUUUCCCUUCCUCACAAAGCAAACGCACGGGCCAUGUUCUCCAGCUCCACACGCAACCACUCCUCCGCGUCGCCGUCGCCUCUGCCUCACCCCGUCUCCUUCCGCAGCAAUGGCCUACCUCAUCUCCCCUCCGCCGAUGUGGUGCUAGCCACCACCACCGAGCCCUAGCAGCAAAGGGAGUGGUGGCUUAUUCCACGGCGCAUCUCCACGCGUGCAGCGGCGACCCCGGGAGGAGCUUAAGCCGCAGCGAUGGUCCACCGCGCCGGCGCCGUCGUCGGCGAGUCCCCGAUCCAAUCCAUGAUCUCUCUCUCUCUCUCUCUCUCUCUCUCUCUCUCUCUCUCUCUCUCAGAGGGCAUCUGCGGACCCCAAGGUGCGGUGCCGCACCCUACCUGUCGUACAGUCUAAUCUCUCCCCCCCUUGCCUCCUACCCUCUCUCUUCAGCUCCUCUAUUUAUUUGCACAAAUUCUUUUUUGUCUAUGCCUAGAAGGUGUUUGAUGAAAGUUCAGCAACAUCCGAGCAUGCUCACCUCCAGUUCGCCAACAACCAGAAUUUAAAGAAAACGAGAACAUCGAGUGUGCACUACUGAUGCCAUCAUGGAAAACUCACUGCUCUUGUUUAAUUUUAUUUAUGUAGUCAAUAUUUUGGUCAAAUGAUUCUCACGUGUUAACAAAUUGUACUCACAUAAAACUGAGUAUUGGUCUAAGGAGCUGGUGGCAAAACAAGAAUUAAUGUUCCUUUAUUUACUUAGAGCUUAUGUUCAGAUCAUUGACAUUUGCAUAUCCCCUAUUUGUAGUAUCAUUUUGUGUCUCGUGUUAUGCCUGUAAUUAAGUGCAGUCGUGCCUUCUUAUUAAUGCCUUGCACUUUCGGGUGUGUGGAUGUGGAUGUCAAUGUCUACUAUCUGUCAAUCACCCAUCAAAGAAAGAUCAUAUGAUUUUUCUACAACCCUGAUUUUACCUUAGCUAAGAUUAUAUAACCAUCAACUUGAUCAAGAUUGCUCGUGUGUGUCAUCUUAUGUUCUGUUUCAACGGUCAAAUACCCAUACGCCAUCGAAGUUAGUGUGUGAUGUGCCUACUUCUAUUAGGAAAACAGAGAGGAUGUGAUUGUUUUAUUUUUCUAAAAUUGGUAAUGUGGCAACUAGCAUGGCUUCUGCUAUGUUGAUUUAGAUCUUGCUUGGGUACUGGUUACCUUAAGUAAUGCUCCCUCCGUCCUAAAAUAAGUGUCGUGUCUUUAGUUCAAAUUUAUUAAAAUUUAAACUAAAGCCACGACACUUAUUUUGGGACGGAGGGAGUAGUUGAAAUACAUUGCAGAGAGUAAACAGAGCAUGCGUAUAAAGGUUGGUUAGGUCAACUUUGUUAUUGAUUUACACAGAAUUGAACUUGUUGAUAUGGUGAUAGGGUCUGCCGUGUACAUGGUUGUUGAUUAAAUUUUUGUAUAAACUUCUACCAAUAUGUUCUAUUAUAAACUCACUAAUUUAUCUGUUAGACCGGCAGUGGAGGAGCAGCAGCGGCCAACGGCAGAUCGGCGUGUCAUGGGAGCAGACACGGCGGCCGUCACGGGCAGAGCAGAGCGAAGUUGGCAUGGCGGCUAGGCGGCUGUCCGGACUGGAUCCCGCCAUCACCACCAGCCACCCCCUCGUUUGUCCGUGUCCAUCUCGGCGAAACCAAGGGUCUGCCUCGUGUCCUGCGAGGUGACACUCCACCGCCACCGCUCUGCUGCUUCCGCCUUACGCUUCGCUCCCUCCGGUGCCAUACUCACCUCCGACAAAAAGGACCUCUUGGACGUCAUUGCACAUGCUGGCCUCUUCCGACCCCGUGGCCACCGUGAUCAGGUAAUUGAUUUUGUGUUCCUGGAUUCGGGUAAGAAGCUAGUGACCUGCUCCAAGGACAAGGUUAUCUGGGUUUGGGACCUCAACACACAACACUGCCUUCAAAUUGUAAGGUGUCCAUCACAUCAAGAUAUGGUCGAUGGAUGUUGAUUCUAGCGAGAAGUUUUUGGUGUCUGUCUCGGCCGAUCAAGAGCUGUGGGUGUUCAAAAUCAGGCAAUCAGCUGAACAGGGUGAAGAUUGGAACAAAUGGGAUGCACUUCACCAUUGAUCUAUUGUGAUUCCUUUUCCCCUUUAAUAACGUGUACGUAUAGGGUAGUCAAGCGCCAACAGGAUAUCAGCUUUUGUUGUGGAUGAGAGUGGGAUGAUCAAUCGGAUUGCCGGGGUAGUACAACAUUGAGUCAUUGGCAGUUCGGCUCAACAAGGACAAGGCGCUGUUCACCAUAGGGGUAUUAGGAACAGAGAAAAUACUCACACAAGGCAUGGAGCAGCUACAAACUUGUUAAUGUUAUACAGGUUGAUGAUUUGUCAAAGGAAUUUUAUUGCAAAUUCCUGUAGGCCUGAAAAUGCACACUAUCAUAACAGAGUAAUGUGCAAGUACACAAUGUCAUAGUAGAAAAAUAGAAUUUGGACUGAUUAUUUAACAUCACUCGAGCAGCUUCCCUUGCGCCGUCAUCCAUCCACCAACAAGCCCAUGACCAUGCAUCAGAGAAUGAAAAGCAUCUUUCACGCUGCCAACGGGAUCUGGACCAAGAAGAGGAUCAGGAGGACGAAUACAGUGGACACUACUACUCAGCAAGAUACAGUUCAAACCCUGUAUCCUCCUGAUUGAUCUCCCUUCGCCCCUGUUUAAGAAUCAUGUUUCACCCAUUCAGUGUUGUCUUCAGAAUUAUAGACACCUCAUUCUAUAAGGAGGCUGCCACCAAGAAGAGCGAGGUUGUGUCAAUGGACUCAGCGACAAGUUGUAGAAAGAAACAAGGCUUAUGUUAGGCAAAGUUGAUUAGGUUGUACUACACACCGAGUGCCUCCAUAAGAAUCUAGAUAAAAUGCCAUAAAAGACUGUUCUAGAUAAGAUGAUGGCUAUCAAUGUGAGCGACUGAGCUUUUAUGUCCAGAAAAUGCUCACUAAUAAAAUCUGGAAUGUCUUAUGUUUCUCAUCUUUUCUCUUCAUUUGUAUGGUUAAAGUUUGGCUUCAAACCAACAAAUAGUUAAUAUUAAAUUAAGUUAUUUUCCCGCUCCCCUCUUCAGUUGGCAAACCCAUCAAGGAAUUGUUGUAAUGAAUAUAUUUUAUAUGGUUACAUCCACAAGAGGAAGAGAUCUUA